rnacentral:rRNA from 1 species
GAUCCUGGCUCAGGAUAAACGCUGGCGGCGCACAUAAGACAUGCAAGUCGAACGAACUUAAUCGAUUCUUUUAGAUUCGAAGCGGUUAGUGGCGGACUGGUGAGUAACACGUAAGCAACCUACCUAUUAGAGGGGAAUAACAGUGAGAAAGUCACUGCUAAAACCGCAUAUGCCCGUGAAUAUCGCAUGAUAAAAACGGGAAAGAGCAAUCUGCUAAUAGAUGGGCUUGCGUCUGAUUAG